GGGAUUCCAUCUGGUCCAGCUGAAUUCUUGGCAUUCACAGCUCUCAGGACCCGGUUAAGCUCUUGUGUCUGGAGGAUAAGUGAGCUUUCAGCAGAGUCCAGCCGGGGUGAAGCUUCAUUGUCCGGUCUUCUCUCAAAAUGGGCAAAGAAGUGGUUCAAUUCAUCAGCCAGCAUGGGGCCGCAUUCUGUUGUUGCUUUCAGGCUAUUGGAGAGUUGGAGAGAAAGGUCACUGUGUGGGGUGAAGCAGCAGACCAAACAGCAGAAAGCCAGGACUAGGGCUGUGUUCCUCCAUCUAUGUUACUUCCUAUAUGUUUCUGUAUGUUCCUGUUGCAGUGUUCCUCCAUCUAUGUUACUUCCUGUAUGUUUCUGUAUGUUCCUGUUGCAGUGUUCCUCCAUCUAUGUUACUUCCUGUAAGUUUCUAUAUGUUCCUGUAUGUUCCUUAGCAGAAAGUGUUCGUGUUUGCUCUCCUGGUGUUUUUUUUUUUUUUCUCGUAGUUUCCAAUAAAUCAGACAAAUGUCAAUGUUGACAGAAUUUUUUUCUCUCUGGUUUUUCAGUGAGUAUGUGAUGGUGACACUUUAAAUGUAUUGGUAUUGAUGUAAAUGGUAUUGUUAAAAAUUUUUAGGAACAUUCUCUGAGUGUUUUAAUUUCCUAGGAGUAGGAACAGAAUCACAUUUGUUUUAUAAUUUUCAUGAAGGGAACAUUAAACUGAAAACAUUGUGGUAACCUUCCUAUAGUGUUCAAUUAACCUUGGGAACGUCAGGAAAACUUUCUGUUUAUAAUUGUGUUUAAAACAUUCAAACAUUUUGGCAACCGUCCUAUAAUAUUCAACUUACUUUCCCAGAACAUUCUGGGAACAUCAAAAUAACCUUCUGGUUAUGUUAGGAAAACUUGCCGUUUUAACUUGGAAGGAACAUUUGAGGGAGAACAUUCUGGUAACCUUCUUAAAACAUUCAAUUAACCUUCCCAAAACAUUCAGGCAACAUCAAAAUAUCCUUCUGGUAACGUCAGGAAAACUUG